rnacentral:rRNA from 1 species
AUGAGCUUUUCGGCUGCCAUUGGGGUCAUCAGUGGAUUCAAUGAAUGUGUCACUUCGUGGCAGUGGGCCAAAUCUGCCAUUUCAUCUCUUCACUCCAGAUGGACUGGCUCAGAGGAGCAAAGUCUCCAGGAUCGUGUAUUGCAGUUGGAGAGUAGCCUGCAACUUCUCAAGGAUACUCUUCCCGCAAUGCACGACCUCAUUAAUAAAGCAGAGUGGAGGAGCCACGAACACGGUGUGGCCAAACUCCUCCCAAAUCUCAAGGAUGCAGUGUCUGAGGCCGAGGACCUUCUUGACGAGUUCACAUGGUACGAGAAGAAGGUGCAAGUAGAGGGUGAUACAAGUCAAUCUCCUUUCACUGAAUUCUUUGAUACGGUUGUCCCAGGCAGCUUCAACAAAUUGAAUGGUGUGCAGAUUAGGUUGAAUCAUCUUUCGGUUCAGCUUGAUAAUAUUGGGCUUCGUGGAGUUACACACCGCUUUGACAAAUUAGUCAGGCCAGAGACCACCUCUUUGCCAAAUGAAACAAAAAUAUUUGGUCGUGACAAGGAGCUGGAGCAGAUACUGGGGUUUCUCAAUGUACCUAAUAAAAUUUCAAAACGCAAGAGAGCAACUAUUUCAAUCAAUGCAUCAACAAGCGCACCAUCAAGCCUUCCUGUUUUGCCAAUAGUUGGAAUUGGUGGUGUUGGAAAGACUACUUUGGCCCAACAUAUAUGCAUCAACAAACGAGUGAAGUCUCACUUUGACCUUAUAAUUUGGAUUUGUGUCUCGGAUGACUUUGAUGUGAAGAGGUUAACUAAAGAGGUCAUACAAUCCUGUACUGGUAAGGAGACAAGGACUGAUAAUUUGGAUUCUCUUCAGAAUGCUCUCUAUAACCAUGUGAACAAUAAAAGGUUACUGAUAGUCCUUGAUGACAUGUGGGAUGAUGCUUUGAAGGAAAAUGGGCAGUGUUGGAAGAGGUUUUGUGCACCUUUCCGAAGUGUCCAAGAGGGAAGUGCGAUGCUGGUCAGCACUAGGUGUCCAAAGGUUGCCAUGGGGGUGCGCACAAUUGAGCCCAUUAUAUUAGCAGGUCUAAAUGAUGUUGUCUUUUGGAAUUUCUUUAAAUUGUGCGCGUUUGGAUCCGAGAGUUCUAGCAAUGACCCUGAGUUAGAACAUAUUGGUAGAAGAAUACUUCCUAAAUUGAAGGGUUCUCCUUUGGCCGCCAAAACUCUGGGACGCAUGUUAAGCAUGGACCUUCAAGCAUCACAUUGGAAUUUUAUACUUGAGAGUGAACUGUGGGAGUUGAGACAAGAGGAGACGAACAUUUUGCCUGCCCUUCGGUUGAGCUACAUGUAUUUACCAUUCUAUUUGAAGCAAUGCUUCUCAUUCUGUGCAGUGUAUCCGAAAGAUUACAAAUUUGAGAAGGCAUUCUUAGCUGAGAUUUGGGUAGCAGAAGGCUUCGUGGAACAUCAGGGUGGUAUUCCAAUUCAAGGUAUUGGCUGUCAGUAUUUUGAAGAUCUUGUAGCACGGUCCUUCUUUCAAAAAGUUGGUGGCAGAUAUGUUAUACAUGACUUGCUGCAUGACAUGGCACAAAUGGUUUCAGAGCAUGACUGCUUCAUCUUAAGAAAUAAGAGUGACUUUGAUAAAGUUCCGCAGAAUGUUCGUCAUCUGCACGUACUCCCUAGCAGUGACUUUGACUAUUCUAACUUGUUGAGAAUAUGCAAGUACACAAAGCUGCGUACCAUUAUUUGCAAGAAGAAUUUAGGGAAAAAGAUUGGCUUUGUAAUGGACCAAUGGUGUACUAAACUUCUGUGUAUGCGUGUGAUUUCGUGUGCCUCCACAAAUGAGUUACCAGACAAUAUUGGCAACUGGAAGCAUCUUCGGUACCUUGAAAUCUCCCGAGCGUGUCCUUUGAAGAGGAUUCCUUCAACUUUCUGUUGGCUGUAUAAUCUGCAGAUUUUAUAUGCCAAGAAAUGCAAGCUAGAAUGGUUUCCAAGUGAGUUUGGUAAGUUGAUCAGUUUACAGAAACUCGAAUCCUAUGGAUUGUCGUAUUAUGCUGGGGGUCGCAUGACUCUUGAUUCAGCCAAUGGGCAGGGACAAGCAGGAAUCAGGUUAAUAAAGAAUUUGAACCAAUUUCGUGGACACUUGGAGAUAUGUAAUGUUGACAUGCUAAGUAAGGAUCAUGCAAGAGAAGCAGAACUGAAGAAUAAGAAAUAUAUUGACAAGUUGACGCUGAAUAUGCAUUCACAGGGCCGGGGUCUCAAACCAUCCAGCACAAUGUGA